UACGGGGGGGGCAAGCGUUGUUCGGAAUUACUGGGCGUAAAGGGCUCGUAGGCGGCCAACUAAGUCCGACGUGAAAUCCCCAGGCUUAACCUGGGAACUGCGUCGGAUACUGGAUGGCUUGAAUUCGGGAGAGGGAUGCAGAAUUCCAGGUGUAGCGGUGAAAUGCGUAGAUAUCUGGAGGAAUACCGGUGGCGAAGGCGGCAUCCUGGACCGACAUUGACGCUGAUGAGCGAAAGCGUGGGGAGCGAUCCGG
rnacentral:rRNA from 1 species